rnacentral:tmRNA from 1 species
GCACGUACGGUCAAAACAUUGACAGACUAAACAUGUAGCUGCCGGUGUGUGGCGGAUUUACGGACGCGGGUUCGAUUCCCGCCGCCUCCACCA